rnacentral:rRNA from 1 species
UACGUAGGGUGCAAGCGUUAAUCGGAAUUACUGGGCGUAAAGCGUGCGCAGGCGGUUAUGUAAGACAGAUGUGAAAUGCCCGGGCUUGACCUGGGAACUGCAUUUGUGACUGCAUGGCUAGAGUUUGGCAGAGGGGGGUAGAAUUCCACGUGUAGCAGUGAAAUGCGUAGAGAUGUGGAGGAACACCGAUGGCGAAGGCAGCCUUCUGGGCCAACACUGACGCUCAUGCACGAAAGCGUGGGGAGCAAACAGG